UACGGAGGAUUCGAGCGUUAUCCGGAUUUAUUGGGUUUAAAGGGUGCGUAGGCGGACUGGUAAGUCAGCUGUGAAAGGUUACGGCUCAACCCUGAAAUUGCAGUUGAUACUGUUGAUCUUGAGUAUACAUGAGGUGGGCGGAAUUUGUGGUGUAGCGGUGAAAUGCUUAGAUAUCACAAAGAACACCAAUUGCGAAGGCAGCUCACUGGGGUACAACUGACGCUGAGGCACGAAAGUGUGGGUAUCAAACAGG
rnacentral:rRNA from 1 species